rnacentral:rRNA from 1 species
AUACAGAGAGUGCAAGCGUUAAUCGGAAUAACUGGGCGUAAAGCGCACGUAGGUGGACAUUUAAGUCGGAUGUGAAAGCCCUAGGCUUAACCUAGGAACUGCAUCCGAAACUGGGCGUCUUGAGUAUAGUAGAGGGAAGUGGAAUUUCCGGUGUAGCGGUGAAAUGCGUAGAUAUCGGAAAGAACACCAGUGGCGAAGGCGUCUUCCUGGACUAAUACUGACACUGAGGUGCGAAAGCGUGGGGAGCAAACAGGAUUAGAAACCCUUGUAGUCC